rnacentral:lncRNA from 1 species
AAAAUACUGGUGAUUAUGCAAUCUAGCCCACGGCUCCAUCCCUUAAGGAAACAUAUUGUGUUGUCAGUUACAUAACCGGAUGGAGAUAGUUUAGCUCCUCGCACAGCACACCACAACCAGCUUCCACCUCCUGCAUGAUAAAAUGGGGGCAAAUAAAGUUUGGGAAAAAAGGAGAAUAAUCAUCGAAGGAAAUAAAAGUGUUACCACCUUUUUGGGGGGUUUUUUGGUUGUUUUUUAAAGAUGCAAUCUGGAUUUUUAGAACUCCUGCUGAGCCAAUUUCUCUAAGUGCCUAUAUAAAAGCUGACCCUAAUCCACCAUUACGUAUUGCUAAACCAUCGUCCUUAAGCCCUUGCUUAUCCCAUUUGCCGGACUCUGCAGCCUAAGCCCACACGGGAGGCAGACCUUCAGCGGCAGCCCGCGCAAAGCUGUCCGGCCACCAGCAGGAAAGAUCACAGUGUGGAAUGAUAACGCAACGAGCGAAACAAGAGCUACCUGGACGGCUAGCAGAAGAUAAAAUGCCCAGAUUCAACUGCACAGUGAGUGAAGUUACGGUGAUGAACCUCCAACCGGCUAAGAAACCGACCCCAGUAAUACCUGCAGACAAAAAGGGGAAGGGUCUCAGAUCUCCCAGUUUCCACCGUUCUGCUCCUAACCUUUCAGAGACGCUGUCCGUCCCAGAGGGGACCAACGCCCAGGCUGAAAUAACACCUAAAGAAGGUGUCUCUUCUUCUAAACCCUUUUAUGCAGGAGAGGCUCAAAGUAUGGAUAAUCUUGCACUGAAACGGCCAGUGAAGUUGGCUCCUCUUGAGAUCCCCUUGGAAGUCAAGGAGGCUCAGCUGAAGAAGAUCAUGAGCAUCCAAAGAGAUGCCCAGCUGGCUGCUUUUAAGCUAGCUAGUGUUGGCUCCUUCGGCAGUGAGCCUCAUGUCAAGAGGGUGAAAAAUGUGCCGCAGCUAGAGAGGGAAAACUUCCCCAAGUCCAAGACCUUUGACAGCUCCACUUUACAGAAUAAAGGGAGCAUCCAUUCAUUAAGUGUUGCCAAAUCCUCUUGUGAGAUUCAGAUUAUCUUGCCCACUGAGGAAAAUGCCAAGCCAGCUAAGAAAGAUGAGUCCCCUAUGCCGUGCCGUAAACCUUUGAUCCCCCAGAACAAUCUGCAAGCUCUCGAUUCACAGAAGGACAUGAAGAUUUCAGAAAACUCUUCACAGGGAACCGGCCGGCGUCGCUUCACACUGAAGCAGAUGAAGGAACAACAAGAGUUGAUGGGCAAAGGCAGACCUUUGAAAGCUACGGGGGUUGGCUUAGAGGAAAGCAAGACAAAAACCGCAAGCCAACGAGCUCACAAGACCCUCAGUGAAGCAAGCAGAUUGAUCAACACCCUGGCCAAAAAGCAUAGGGGCCCAGAGGAGGAUCAGGAUGAGGCAGAUGAUGAUCUCCUUACAGGGAGGCUGUCCUCACGGAGGAUGGCUGUAGGAGAUGUCAUCCAGGCUGAUGAAGAAUGAAGCUGGACAGUAGAUACCACCCUGUUUCAGGCACUGUGCUCAUAAUACUGACAUGGCUACAGUGGCAUACUGUAUUCUUGAAGGGACAUAUACUGCCUGAAACUUCCCCAUAUUGAAAAAGUCUAUUAUUUGGCUGGCAUUGUCCCUCCAGAAGUAUGGUGGGAGGUGCUAGCAAAUAAUGAAUGGAACAGGAAAACACUGCACCAAAAUCAUCAACUUCAUGGACUCCAACCCUCUAGACAAUGAUUAAAAAUGAAGAAAUGUUUUCUGCUCCCAUCUCAAGCUCUAAGAGGCCAGGCUAAACGUACGGAAAAUGAAGAUAACCACCUUGCCGAGUGUAUGAAUGCUGAAGAGUGUUUCCCACCAGAACAAGACUCUAGCUGGAUCAUCUGCAAGUCACUUAAUAAACUCUUAAAUAAAGUAAGACA